rnacentral:rRNA from 1 species
GACGAACGCUGGCGGCGUGCUUAACACAUGCCAGUCGAACGGAAAGGCCUCUUUCGGGGGGUACUCGAGUGGCGAACGGGUGAGUAACACGUGAGUAACCUGCCCUUGACUUUGGGAUAACUUCAGGAAACUGGGGCUAAUACCGGAUAGGAGCUCCUGCUGCAUGGUGGGGGUUGGAAAGUUUCGGCGGUUGGGGAUGGACUCGCGGCUUAUCAGCUUGUUGGUGGGGUAGUGGCUUACCAAGGCUUUGACGGGUAGCCGGCCUGAGAGGGUGACCGGCCACAUUGGGACUGAGAUACGGCCCAGACUCCUACGGGAGGCAGCAGUGGGGAAUAUUGCACAAUGGGUGGAAGCCUGAUGCAGCAACGCCGUGUGCGGGAUGACGGCCUUCGGGUUGUAGACCGCUUUCGCUCAUGACGAAGCUUUGUGUGACGGUAGUGGGUAAAGAAGCACCGGCUAACUACGUG